UAGUCCACGCCGUAAACGAUGGAUACUAGGUGUUCGGAGUGUUAACCCUCUGAGUACCGGAGCUAACGCAUUAAGUAUCCCGCCUGGGGAGUACGGUCGCAAGGCUAAAACUCAAAGGAAUUGACGGGGGCCCGCACAAGCGGUGGAGUAUGUGGUUUAAUUCGAAGCAACGCGAAGAACCUUACCUGGGCUUAACAUUCAGUGCCAGCUCUAGAGAUAGAGUUUUCUCUUCGGAGACGCUGGGAUAGGUGCUGCAUGGCUGUCGUCAGCUCGUGUCGUAAGAUGUUGGGUUAAGUCCCGCAACGAGCGCAACCCUUGCCCUUAGUUGCUACCAUUAAGUUGGGCACUCUGAGGGGACUGUCGGUGUUAAACCGGAGGAAGGCGGGGAUGACGUCAAGUCCUCAUGGCCCUUACGUCCAGGGCUACACACGUACUACAAUGGCAAAGACAAACCGUUGCGAAGCCGCGAGGUGGAGCUAAUCGGUAAAACAUUGUCGCAGUCCGGAUUGAAGUCUGCAACUCGACUUC
rnacentral:rRNA from 1 species